rnacentral:rRNA from 1 species
CCUACGGGAGGCAGCAGUGGGGAAUAUUGGACAAUGGGCGAAAGCCUGAUCCAGCCAUGCCGCGUGUGUGAAGAAGGCCUUCGGGUUGUAAAGCACUUUCAGUGGGGAAGAAAGCCUUGGGGCUAAUACCCUCGAGGAAGGACAUCACCCACAGAAGAAGCACCGGCUAACUCCGUGCCAGCAGCCGCGGUAAUACGGAGGGUGCGAGCGUUAAUCGGAAUUACUGGGCGUAAAGCGCGCGUAGGCGGUCUGAUAAGCCGGUUGUGAAAGCCCCGGGCUCAACCUGGGAACGGCAUCCGGAACUGUCAGGCUAGAGUGCAGGAGAGGAAGGUAGAAUUCCCGGUGUAGCGGUGAAAUGCGUAGAGAUCGGGAGGAAUAGCAGUGGCGAAGGCGGCCUUCUGGACUGACACUGACGCUGAGGUGCGAAAGCGUGGGUAGCAAACAGGAUUAGAUACCCCAGUAGUC